rnacentral:rRNA from 1 species
AUACGUAGGGUGCGAGCGUUGUCCGGAAUUACUGGGCGUAAAGAGCUCGUAGGUGGUUUGUCGCGUCGUCUGUGAAAUUCCGGGGCUUAACUCCGGGCGUGCAGGCGAUACGGGCAUAACUUGAGUACUGUAGGGGAGACUGGAAUUCCUGGUGUAGCGGUGAAAUGCGCAGAUAUCAGGAGGAACACCGGUGGCGAAGGCGGGUCUCUGGGCAGUAACAGACGCUGAGGAGCGAAAGCAUGGGUAGCGAACAGGAUUAGAUACCCGGGUAGUCCAUGCUGUAAACGGGGGGCGCUGGGUGUAGGGGUCUUCCACGACUUCUGUGCCGUAGCUAACGCAUUAAGCGCCCCGCCUGGGGAGUACGGCCGCAAGGCUAAAACUCAAAUGAAUUGACGGGG